ACACGCACGCGCACGGCGGCCACGCUCCUCCAAAAGCUGCUCUCGGUCAGACACUCGAUUCUCAAACAACAUGACACAUAAUAAACUUGCAGAAAGAGUGUGGUUGCUUUAUAUCCGCGAAUCGAAGAAGCCGCAGUCUUUGUUUAAUCAUCUAGGCUAUUCCCAAUUUCCUGUAAAAUACAGGAAAGGUCCAACGGCGCUAAACACACCAACAAAAUAAGACGCAAUGGUGUGGUUGAACCUCCCACCUCAAACAUUCCCAGGAUCCCUCAGUGCUGAAUGGGAAUGCAAGGUCAAAGGUCACUGAGUGGCUUCUUCUGACCCACAUUUACUGGUUAAUUGAAAGGUACAAUAGGUAAUUUCGGACUUCUAACAGUCAAGAGAGGAAUGACAGCAACAAACACCUUCAAACCACAACACUGUGUAUCUCUCCCCCUGCUCUGUAAAUGCUCUGGUGUUGAAACACCAUUGGCUGUGGCAAUGAGAACCAAGUUUCAACCAAUGAGCUUGAAUUAUUGUACAAUUGUACAAUGUUUUGGUACAGAGUGUCAGGAUGUCAACUGUAUAUUUUGAAACCCGAAUUUAAGGACUAUAAACACAGGGUCAACAUGUCAGUGAGCCUUUUUCCAUGAUAAGUUUUAACACAAAAAAAUCUUAUCUAUUGUACUUAUUGUACUGAGUAAGAGUAUUGUCCUUCUUGUUCAUUGUA